UACAGAGGUCCCGAGCGUUUGUUCGGAUUCACUGGGCGUAAAGGGUGCGUAGGUGGUGAGGUAAGUCGGAUGUGAAAUCUCCGAGCUCAACUCGGAAAUGGCAUUGGAAACUACCUUGCUUGAGGGUUGGAGGGGGGACUGGAAUACUUGGUGUAGCAGUGAAAUGCGCAGAUAUCAGGAGGAACACCGGUGGCGAAGGCGGGUCUCUGGGCAACAACUGACGCUGAGGAGCGAAAGCGUGGGGAGCGAACAGG
rnacentral:rRNA from 1 species